GCGGCCGUGACCCUGCUGGAGUCUGGGGGGGACCUCCAGCCCCCCGAGGGGUCCCUGCGCCUCCUCUGCCGAGGGUCCGGGUUCAUUUUCAGGAGGUACGCCAUGCAAUGGAUCCGCCAGAGACCCGGGCAGGCGCUGGAAUUCGUCGCGUACAUCAGCAACACUGGUGGCAGCACCGACUACGCGCCGUCGUUGAAGGGCCGGGUGACGAUCUCCAGGGACAACGGGCAGAGCUCGGUGACGCUGACCAUGAACAGCCUCAAGGACGAGGAUUCCGGAUCCUAUUUCUGCGCCAAACACGUUUAUUCUCGCAAUGCUGACACUGCUGACCGUUUCCCACCCAAAGUGCUGACGCGUGCGGCGGGCUCGGAGCCGGCCGAUCUCCCGCGCCCUCAUUUCCUGCUCUGA